UUCGGAUGCUGACGAGUGGCGAACGGGUGAGUAAUACAUCGGAACGUGCCCGAUCGUGGGGGAUAACGAGGCGAAAGCUUUGCUAAUACCGCAUACGAUCUACGGAUGAAAGCGGGGGAUCUUCGGACCUCGCGCGGACGGAGCGGCCGAUGGCAGAUUAGGUAGUUGGUGGGAUAAAAGCUUACCAAGCCGACGAUCUGUAGCUGGUCUGAGAGGAUGAUCAGCCACACUGGGACUGAGACACGGCCCAGACUCCUACGGGAGGCAGCAGUGGGGAAUUUUGGACAAUGGGCGAAAGCCUGAUCCAGCCAUGCCGCGUGCAGGAUGAAGGCCUUCGGGUUGUAAACUGCUUUUGUACGGAACGAAAAGCCUCUUUCUAAUAAAGAGGGGUCAUGACGGUACCGUAAGAAUAAGCACCGGCUAACUACGUGCCAGCAGCCGCGGUAAUACGUAGGGUGCAAGCGUUAAUCGGAAUUACUGGGCGUAAAGCGUGCGCAGGCGGUUUUGUAAGACAGAGGUGAAAUCCCCGGGCUCAACCUGGGAACUGCCUUUGUGACUGCAAGGCUGGAGUGCGGCAGAGGGGGAUGGAAUUCCGCGUGUAGCAGUGAAAUGCGUAGAUAUGCGGAGGAACACCGAUGGCGAA
rnacentral:rRNA from 1 species